GGGGAAUUAGCUCAUCUGGCUAGAGCGUCUGACUGGCAGUCAGGAGGUGGUCGGUUCAAGUCCGAUAUUCUCCACCA
rnacentral:tRNA from 1 species